rnacentral:rRNA from 1 species
UACGUAGGGUGCAAGCGUUGUCCGGAAUUAUUGGGCGUAAAGAGCUCGUAGGCGGUCUGUCGCGUCUGCUGUGAAACUCAGGGCUUAACCUCGAGCUUGCAGUGGGUACGGGCAGACUAGAGUGCGGUAGGGGAGACUGGAAUUCCUGGUGUAGCGGUGAAAUGCGCAGAUAUCAGGAGGAACACCGGUGGCGAAGGCGGGUCUCUGGGCCGUAACUGACGCUGGAGGAGCGAAAGCAUGGGGAGCGAACAGG